UACAGAGGUCCCGAGCGUUGUUCGGAUUCACUGGGCGUAAAGGGUGCGUAGGUGGUUAGGUAAGUCCGAUGUGAAAUCUCCGGGCUCAACCUGGAAAUGGCAUUGGAUACUAUUUAGCUUGAGGAGUGGAGGGGGGACUGGAAUUCUCGGUGUAGCAGUGAAAUGCGUAGAUAUCGAGAGGAACACCAGUGGCGAAGGCGAGUCCCUGGACACUUCCUGACACUGAGGCACGAAAGCUAGGGGAGCAAACAGG
rnacentral:rRNA from 1 species